rnacentral:rRNA from 1 species
GACGAACGCUGGCGGCGUGCUUAACACAUGCAAGUCGAACGGAAAGGCCCUGCUUUUGUGGGGUGCUCGAGUGGCGAACGGGUGAGUAACACGUGAGUAACCUGCCCUUGACUUUGGGAUAACUUCAGGAAACUGGGGCUAAUACCGGAUAGGAGCUCCUGCUGCAUGGUGGGGGUUGGAAAGUUUCGGCGGUUGGGGAUGGACUCGCGGCUUAUCAGCUUGUUGGUGGGGUAGUGGCUUACCAAGGCUUUGACGGGUAGCCGGCCUGAGAGGGUGACCGGCCACAUUGGGACUGAGAUACGGCCCAGACUCCUACGGGAGGCAGCGGUGGGGAGUAUUGCACAGUGGGCGGAAGCCUGAUGCAGCAACGCCGCGUGCGGGAUGACGGGCUUCGGGUUGUAAACCGCUUUCGCCUGUGACGAGGCGUGAGUGACGGUAAUGGGUAAAGAAGCACCGGCUAACUACGUG